CGGGAGGCAGCAGUGGGGAAUUUUCCGCAAUGGGCGAAAGCCUGACGGAGCAAUCUCGCGUGAGGGAUGACUGCCUAUGGGUUGUAAACCUCUUUUUUCAGGGAGGAAUAAAUGACGUGUACCUGAAGAAUAAGCAUCGGCUAAUUCCGUGCCAGCAGCCGCGGUAAUACGGAGGAUGCAAGUGUUAUCCGGAAUCACUGGGCGUAAAGCGUCUGUAGGUGGUUUAAUAAGUCAACUGUUAAAUCUUGAGGCUCAACUUCAAAAUCGCAGUCGAAACUGUUAGACUAGAGUAUAGNAGGGGUAAAGGGAAUUUCCAGUGGAGCGGUGA
rnacentral:rRNA from 1 species